rnacentral:rRNA from 1 species
AUUGAACGCUGGCGGCAUGCUUUACACAUGCAAGUCGAACGGUAACAGGUUAAGCUGACGAGUGGCGAACGGGUGAGUAAUGCAUCGGAACGUGCCCGAUCGUGGGGGAUAACGCAGCGAAAGCUGCGCUAAUACCGCAUACGAUCUGAGGAUGAAAGCGGGGACCGUAAGGCCUCGCGCGAUCGGAGCGGCCGAUGUCAGAUUAGGUAGUUGGUGGGGUAAAGGCUCACCAAGCCAACGAUCUGUAGCUGGUCUGAGAGGACGACCAGCCACACUGGGACUGAGACACGGACCAGACUCCUACGGGAGGCAGCAGUGGGGAAUUUUGGACAAUGGGCGAAAGCCUGAUCCAGCAAUGCCGCGUGCAGGAAGAAGGCCUUCGGGUUGUAAACUGCUUUUGUACGGAGCGAAAAGGCUCUCUCUAAUACAGGGGGCUCAUGACGGUACCGUAAGAAUAAGCACCGGCUAACUACGUGCCAGCCGCCGCGGUAA